rnacentral:rRNA from 1 species
GAGAGUCGCAGAUACCAGGUGGCUGCAACUGUUUAUUAAAAACACAGCACUGUGCAAAAUCGUAAGAUGACGUAUACGGUGUGACGCCUGCCCGGUGCCGGAAGGUUAAUUGAUGGGGUUAGCGUAAGCGAAGCUCUUGAUCGAAGCCCCGGUAAACGGCGGCCGUAACUAUAACGGUCCUAAGGUAGCGAAAUUCCUUGUCGGGUAAGUUCCGACCUGCACGAAUGGCGUAAUGAUGGCCACGCUGUCUCCACCCGAGACUCAGUGAAAUUGAAAUCGCUGUGAAGAUGCAGUGUACCCGCGGCUAGACGGAAAGACCCCGUGAACCUUUACUACAGCUUGGCACUGAACAUUGAACCUACAUGUGUAGGAUAGGUGGGAGGCUUUGAAGACGUGACGCCAGUUGCGUUGGAGCCGUCCUUGAAAUACCACCCUUGUAUGUUUGAUGUUCUAACGUUGGCCCCUAAUCGGGGUUGCGGACAGUGCCUGGUGGGUAGUUUGACUGGGGCGGUCUCCUCCCAAAGAGUAACGGAGGAGCACGAAGGUGGGCUAAUCACGGUUGGACAUCGUGAGGUUAGUGCAAUGGCAUAAGCCCGCUUAACUGCGAGAAUGACGGUUCGAGCAGGUGCGAAAGCAGGUCAUAGUGAUCCGGUGGUUCUGAAUGGAAGGGCCAUCGCUCAACGGAUAAAAGGUACUCCGGGGAUAACAGGCUGAUACCGCCCAAGAGUUCAUAUCGACGGCGGUGUUUGGCACCUCGAUGUCGGCUCAUCACAUCCUGGGGCUGAAGUCGGUCCCAAGGGUAUGGCUGUUCGCCAUUUAAAGUGGUACGCGAGCUGGGUUUAGAACGUCGUGAGACAGUUCGGUCCCUAUCUGCCGUGGGCGUUGGAAGAUUGAAGGGGGCUGCUCCUAGUACGAGAGGACCGGAGUGGACGAACCUCUGGUGUUCGGGUUGUGUCGCCAGACGCAUUGCCCGGUAGCUAAGUUCGGAAUCGAUAACCGCUGAAAGCAUCUAAGCGGGAAGCGAGCCCUGAGAUGAGUCUUCCCUGAUACUUUAAGUAUCCUGAAGGGUUGUUCGAGACUAGAACGUUGAUAGGCAGGGUGUGUAAGCGCUGUGAGGCGUUGAGCUAACCUGUACUAAUUGCCCGUGAGGCUUAACCAUACAACACCCAAAGGGUUUUG